GACGAACGCUGGCGGCGUGCUUAACACAUGCAAGUCGAACGGUAAGGCUCCAGCUUGCUGGGGUACACGAGUGGCGAACGGGUGAGUAACACGUGGGUGACCUGCCCUGCACUUCGGGAUAAGCCUGGGAAACUGGGUCUAAUACCGGAUAGGACCAUGGUGUGGAUACUGUGGUGGAAAGUUUUUUCGGUGUGGGAUGGGCCCGCGGCCUAUCCGCAUGUUGGUGGGGUAAUGGCCUACCAAGGCGGCGACGGGUAGCCGGCCUGAGAGGGUGGAUGGCCACAUUGGGACUGAGACACGGCCCAGACGCCGACGGGAGGCAGCAGUGGGGAAUAUUGCACAAGGGGCGGAAGCGUGAUGCAGCGACGCCGCGUGGGGGAGGACGGCCUUCGGGUUGUAAGCUCCUUUCACCAUCGACGAAGGGGUUCUGACGGUGCAUGGAGAGGAGGCACCGCCUACCUACGU
rnacentral:rRNA from 1 species